AGCGUUGUCCGGAUUUAUUGGGCGUAAAGCGCUCGCAGGUGGUCCGAUGCGUCGUGCGUGAAAGACCCCGGCUCAACUGGGGGGCGUCGUGCGAUACGGUCGGACUGGAGGCCAGUAGGGGGAUGAGGAAUUCCGGGUGUAGUGGUGGAAUGCGUAGAGAUCCGGAGGAACACCAGCGGCGAAGGCGGCAUCCUGGACUGGUACUGACACUCAGGAGCGAAAGCGUGGGGAGCGAUCCGG
rnacentral:rRNA from 1 species